rnacentral:tRNA from 1 species
GGGGUUGGGGCUCAGUGGUAGAGCGCUCGCCUAGGAUGCUUGAGGCACUGAGUUCGAGCCUCAGCACCA